AUAAAUUUUUUUAGUAUUAAUUAAAUUAAAUUUAUUAAUAAUAAUAAAAUUAAAUAUAUUAAGUGAAAUUUUAUAUUUAAAUUAUUAUAUAAAAAUGUAAUUGAGGUUAAAAAAUUUUAAUAAAAAACUAGGAUUAGAUACCCUAUUAUUUAAAAUGUAAAUAAAUUGCUAAAGUAGUAAUAGUUAUGUUCUUGAAACUUAAAAAAUUUGGCGGUAUUUUAGUCUAUCUAGAGGAACCUGUUUUUUAAUCGAUAAUCCACGAUGGACCUUACUUAAAUUUGUAAUCAGUUUAUAUACCGUCGUUAUCAGAAUAUUUUAUAAGAAUAAUAAUAUUCAAUAAUUUUAAUAAAAAUUUAUAUCAGAUCAAGGUGUAGCUUAUAUUUAAGUAAUAAUGGGUUACAAUAAAUUUAUUUAUAUGAAUAAAAUUAUGAAAAAAUUUUUGAAAGUGGAUUUAGUAGUAAAAUUAUAAAGAUUAAUAAUUUGAUUUUAGCUCUAAAAUAUGUACACAUCGCCCGUCGCUCUUAUUAUUAAGGUAAGAUAAGUCGUAACAUAGUAGAUGUACUGGAAAGUGUAUCUAGAAUGA
rnacentral:rRNA from 1 species